UGAGGGAAAGUUGCAAAGAACUUUGAAGAGAGAGUUCAAGAGUACGUGAAACUGCUCAGAGGUAAACGGAUGGGCCCUCGAAAUCCCGCUGCGGGGGGAUUCAGUCGGCAGGCCGGAUCACGGCGGAUUAGGGUGACACCCGACGGUAUGUGUAUCCGCGGAACCAGUGUCCCGUUCCGUCCCGGCUGGCCGACGCAAUUCUCCCCGCACGAAGGACGCCGCAGCCGGUCGGGUACGUUAAAAGUCGGUCGUGAGGACCGGGCCGCUGGCAGGUGGCGGGAGGCUCGACCUAGCGUGAGUCUUCCCGUUGUUAGCCGGGCCCGUCUCUGACGCGACACCCGACCGAGGAAGUGACUGUCCGCGCACUCCGAAUUUGGAGCUGAGUCUUGCAGGCACGGCACGACGAGGGCGUGAUCGGAACCACCCGCGAGCGGUGGCCCGUCCCCGAGUCUGCCGCGUAGCCUCUCGUACGAAGCGGUUCUAAGUGCAGCAGACGGCUUGCGGCGAGUAGGUCGGUCACCCAUCCGUCCCGUCUUGAAACACGGACCAAGGAGUCUAACAUGUGCGCGAGUCGCGGGGUCUUGAACAGGCCCGACGGCGCAAUGAAAGUGGUAGCGUGAGACUCGUCUCUCGCAGUUGGGAUCCCCGCGGCCUAGUCCGCGGGGCGCACCAACGGCCCGUCCCGCACGAUUCGUCGGUGGGCCGGAGUCGGAGCGCACACGUUGGGACCCGAAAGAUGGUGAACUAUGCCCGGGCAGAACGAAGCCGGGGGAAACCCUGGUGGAGGUUCGCAGCGGUUCUGACGUGCAAAUCGAUCGUCAGACCUGGG
rnacentral:rRNA from 1 species